GACAAACACGGUGAUUCUGGUCGGAGCCGUGGCUACGUGAUUCUGGCCCGCGUGCAUCCAUAGUCAGAGGACGCCGAGCCUUCCUCGCUGCCAGCAACAUCAGCUCGUCUCGGCAUGAGGUUGAGCAUGGCAAUAAUGUACAGUUUGAACUUCGUGCUGGCAGAACUUUUUCGUCUUGAAGCAUUCUGUGAAUUACACCAUGAAUAGCAAGAACAUCAGGCCAUUUGAGAGAAGGGGUGUCCUGGAGUUCUCCCUAAAUCUUACUGCAUUCUUAGUGAUAAUGAGGAAUUAUUAUUCACUUGAGAAAAUAAAGAUUAAAACGGUGAGGCUCUCAAAAGUGAAAUGACUUUCUGAGCUGGACAUUGACCUUUUUUUGAGCUAGAUAUUGACUUUCUGAGUAGCACAAUAUAGGUCCUAUCUGAAGCCUUUUACGUGCCUGUUAUAAUGAUCUUUUUAUUUUCCUUUGCAUAUUAACUAGAGAAUAUUAUUGUCUGCUAUAACUGCUGAAAGAUGUCAUAUUCCUUUGUUAUAAUGCUGUUUGCAGUAGGAGGUGUACGCCUCUCAUUCAAAGAAGAGGCUCAACAAUCUUUUGGAUGGACUUAUGAUUACCACAUAUAUGAUCUUAUGAAGCAGGAGUUGAGAACUACAAAAUCCAUCUAUUCCUAGAAUGGAGCUGGUUGAAGUUGGGCCUUCAAUGGACCUGGUAGUUAGGUGGCACCGACGUUUAGUAAAGCCAAUUUUUUAUGAGGAAAUGCACCAAAAAAAGUUUAGUGGAAGUGGAUUAGAUUGUUUGUGGUCAUAUGCUCUUGAGAAAAUUUGCGCUUUCUUUAUUUCUUCUGAUUAUAUUUUUUUGUUUAUUUCUAACUGACAUUGAUAUGCAAAAGAAAAUCCUGUGAUUUUUUUUGCCCUCUCAUUGACCAUUUAAAUUUUCAGUCAUAGCUAUAUACAAAGAAGUAUUGUACCAUAUAGUUUUGUCUUUUCGGAAAUGUCUAAAGGCCUGUUACAUGCAUCAUUUUCUCUUUCAUAUCCUUCAUUUGAAACUGAAAAUAUGAACCAUUUUGUUGAUAUGAACAUUAGUUGCAAGGUGAAUAAAUAGUGGUCGACAAUGUGGCUGGAUGUACAUGAGCAUAUGUUGUAUCUUUGACGCCAUUCAUUUUGAAUCAUUAGAAUAAUAAAAGAGGUUUGUUUGUAUAAUUAUUUUCCAGGUUUCUAAACACAUUUAUUUAUCUCUUUUGUAUCCAUUGCAACACAUAUGUUUCCCUAAAUAAAAUGACUGUACAAUUGUGUGAACUGAGUGGCUGGUCGUUACUGUAGAUUAAAUUUCUCACAUUAAGAAUCUUUGCCUGACGCUACAAAAAAUAUAUAUGUUUUGUAGCAGGAUUAGUGAUCAAAUAUAUCCUUUUUGUUGUAAAUAUUUUAGUCUGCUACUUUGUUCAUUAAUUUUUCUGGGCAUUUUUGCUUAAGUUUUAUUUCAAAGCAAAAUCAUAUCGAGCUAUCUACAAGUUAGAAUUGUCCAAAACAGUUUCUGUAACAUUGUAUAUCAUGUGUUUUCUCUUUUAUUCAUAACAUAAUAUGCAGUCACACAAUUUAUAUCUUGGUUGUGAAUUCCAGAGGGGAAGGUAGCCUUCCAGGCAGUUAGAGCUUCGUCACUUGGAAGGUAGACAAGCAAUGCAAGCCAACAAAGAAUUAGGGAAGCACCGAGUUCGCCGGACGUAGCAGAACGUUUGUCGAGCCAUCCAAUAUCGCCAACGGUGGCUACACCAGAGAUAAUUUGCUUCAGUUCAUCGAACUACCUGCUGAAACAUGUGUAUUGUUUCUCAAUAUAUUGGGCAUCAAUCCACCUCUCAUGAGAUCUCUGAAUUUUCGACACAUAUUGUAUUGUAUUUGCUGAAUUAUUUCCUCCAGAUAACUAUGCUUGGAUUCACAAAUGCGUGCAAUGCUUUCAAGUAGAGGUAGUUCAAUACUUAAGUUGUGCUAUUCCACUUUCAAGUUUUUGGUCCUAGAAGUGUAAUACUUGGUAGGUUAGCUGCAAAAGCGGAAUGUAUAUGGCCUGAAUUUAUAUUUCAGAGUGUACAAUCUGAUUCAGAGUAUUUUGACCCCUUGCGUUCUAAAACGUUUUGUUGUAUCGUUCUGUCCUGAAAGAAUAGAAGCAAUUCUUCUAUGUGAGAGAAUAUAAACGUUAUUCGCAAACAACAUGCAACGUCAUUAAGUUUCCUAUUACCAAUUUAAACACGAUCAGUAAUAGCACAACUAAAGUUUGUGAACAUAUCAUUAUAAAAUGGUCGGUUGGAUUGAAUUUUGUAUGGAUUCUACAAGGGCCAUUUCUAUGGAAUUACAAAUUAGCUUUACAUUUUUAUGGAUGGGUUCAUCGUCUUUGGAUUUCCCACGUUCGGAUGUGUUUGUGAUCAAGUGGACAUCAUGACCACCAUCAGUAGGGUGGGAAGGAGGCUGUGUGAUAUUUUUUCUUUUCCCGUUGCAACG